rnacentral:rRNA from 1 species
GUGGGGAAUCUUGCGCAAUGGGCGAAAGCCUGACGCAGCAACGCCGCGUGGGGGAUGAAGGCUCUCGGGUUGUAAACCCCUUUCAGCAGGGACGAAUCAAGACGGUACCUGCAGAAGAAGCCCCGGCUAACUACGUGCCAGCAGCCGCGGUAACACGUAGGGGGCAAGCGUUGUCCGGAUUUAUUGGGCGUAAAGAGCUCGUAGGUGGCUGAGUAAGUCGGAUGUCAAAUCCCCAGGCUCAACCUGGGAUCCCAUCCGAUACUGCUCUGGCUAGAGUCCGGUAGGGGAGCGUGGAAUUCCUGGUGUAGCGGUGAAAUCCGCAGAUAUCAGGAGGAACACCAGCGGCGAAGGCGGCGCUCUGGGCCGGUACUGACACUGAGGAGCGAAAGCGUGGGUAGCAAACAGGAUUAGAUACCCGGGUAGUCC